GACGAACGCUGGCGGCGUGCUUAACACAUGCAAGUCGAACGAAGGGCGAUGGAAGCUUGCUUCUAUCAAUCUUAGUGGCGAACGGGUGAGUAACGCGUAAUCAACCUGCCCUUCAGAGGGGGACAACAGUUGGAAACGACUGCUAAUACCGCAUACGAUCUAAUCUCGGCAUCGGGGAUAGAUGAAAGGUGGCCUCUACAUGUAAGCUAUCACUGAAGGAGGGGAUUGCGUCUGAUUAGCUAGUUGGAGGGGUAACGGCCCACCAAGGCGAUGAUCAGUAGCCGGUCUGAGAGGAGGAACGGCCAAAUUGGGACUGGGACACGGCCCAGACUCCUACGGGAGGCAGCAGUGGGGAAUCUUCCGCAAUGGACGAAAGUCUGACGGAGCAACGCCGCGUGAGUGAUGACGGCCUUCGGGUUGUAAAGCUCUGUUAAUCGGGACGAAAGGCCUUCUUGCGAAUAGUGAGAAGGAUUGACGGUACCGGAAGAGAAAGCCACGGCUAACUACGUG
rnacentral:rRNA from 1 species